ACGCUAGCUACAGGCUUAACACAUGCAAGUCGAGGGGAAACGGCAUUGAGUGCUUGCACUCUUUGGACGUCGACCGGCGCACGGGUGAGUAACGCGUAUCCAACCUUCCCAUUACUGUGGGAUAACCUGCCGAAAGGCAGACUAAUACCGCAUAGUCUUCGAUGACGGCAUCAGAUUUGAAGUAAAGAUUUAUCAGUAAUGGAUGGGGAUGCGUCUGAUUAGCUUGUUGGCAGGGUAACGGCACACCAAGGCAACGAUCAGUAGGGGUUCUGAGAGGAAGGUCCCCUACAUUGGAACUGAGACACGGUCCAAACUCCUACGGGAGGCAGCAGUGAGGAAUAUUGGUCAAUGGACGGAAGUCUGAACCAGCCAAGUAGCGUGCAGGAUGACGGCCCUAUGGGUUGUAAACUGCUUUUGUAUGGGGAUAAAGUUAGGGACGUGUCCCUAUUUGCAGGUACCAUACGAAUAAGGACCGGCUAAUUCCGUGCCAGCAGCCGCGGUAAUACGGAAGGUCCAGGCGUUAUCCGGAUUUAUUGGGUUUAAAGGGAGCGUAGGCUGGAGAUUAAGUGUGUUGUGAAAUAUAGACGCUCAACGUCUGAAUUGCAGCGCAUACUGGUUUCCUUGAGUACGCACAACGUUGGCGGAAUUCGUCGUGUAGCGGUGAAAUGCUUAGAUAUGACGAAGAACUCCGAUUGCGAAGGCAGCUGACGGGAGCGCAACUGACGCUUAAGCUCGAAGGUGCGGGUAUCAAACAGGAUUAGAUACCCUGGUAGUCCGCACAGUAAACGAUGGAUGCCCGCUGUUGGUACCUGGUAUCAGCGGCUAAGCGAAAGCAUUAAGCAUCCCACCUGGGGAGUACGCCGGCAACGGUGAAACUCAAAGGAAUUGACGGGGGCCCGCACAAGCGGAGGAACAUGUG
rnacentral:rRNA from 1 species